rnacentral:rRNA from 1 species
AACGAACGCUGGCGGCGUGGAUAAGACAUGCAAGUCGAACGCUGAUUCAGGGUAGCAAUAUUCUGGAGUCGGAGUGGCGCAAGGGUGCGUAACACGUGGGUAAUUUGCCGUGAAGUUGGGGAUAACUCGCUGAAAGGCGAGCUAAUACCGAAUGUGAUCAUUGGAAGGCAUCUUCUGAUGAUUGGAAGUUGGGGACCGCAAGGCCUGACGCUUCACGAUAAGCCCGCGGCCUAUCAGCUAGUUGGUGAGGUAACGGCCCACCAAGGCUUAGACGGGUAGCUGGUCUGAGAGGACGACCAGCCACACUGGAACUGAGACACGGUCCAGACACCUACGGGUGGCAGCAGUCGAGAAUUUUUCUCAAUGGGCGAAAGCCUGAAGGAGCGACGCCGCGUGGGGGAUGAAUGGCUUCGGCCCG